rnacentral:lncRNA from 1 species
GACUUCGGUCGCCAGCUUACCAAGGAGGAGGCUGUGCCAUAACGCGCUAGGCUGUUUGGCAGUUGGCUCCGCCUAGGCCGGGCCCCGCGUCACCGGAGCCCUCCUGGUCACUCCUGUCAGUGCGAACAGUCUGCGUCAGAACCCCUACAGUUGUCUACUCUUGGGCACUCAGGUUGCUCUGGCAACGAAUGAAACCCCACCCCUUGAUCCUGAAAGAAGCACAGGACACUAAGAGUGGUCCGUCCAUCGGGAUGCUCCGCCUCCUGGGAACCUGACUCCGCCUCCUGGGAACCUGAGCUAAAGCUUCGUGAAAACAAGCGUCCUUGGCUGCUCCAGUUAGGAAGAAGAGUGUGCUCUUCCUCCACCUGGCUCCUGAUUUUCUAUCAGCGCUGGAGGAUCUGCUGCAGCCCACACACUGCCUGACUGGAGCUAGGGAGUGAGGCUUCCAGAAGAGUUCCACAGAGGCUGUGUGGUACAGAUCUUCAUGAGCCGGUACCAGGCAGCCCUGUUGGGUCUAGGCCUGCUCCUCAUGUUCCUACUGUACAUGGGGUUGCCUGGCCCACCCAAGCAGACUUCCCAGCUCGGGAGAGGUCCUAAUGUCACAGUCCUGACUGGUCUCACCAGAGGCAGCUCCCAAAUCUUUUACCGGGAGGUGCUGCCGCUCCAGCAGACACACAGGGCGGAAGUCGUGUUUCUCCAUGGGAAAGCAUUUAAUUCCCACACAUGGGAGCAGCUGGGCACACUGCAGCUCCUCUCAAAGAGGGGCUACCGGGCCGUGGCCGUCGACCUUCCAGGUAAGAACCCCCACAUCCGAGUGUAGAGAGGACCGACUGCAGUCGGAACAAAGGAAGUCACCAGAAGGGAGAACUGGAGGGGCGGCAAAACUGGGGCGUAUGGGUCCCCACGUCUGGAAAAACCAGCUGCAGUUCACAAGAAAGCACUACAAUAAAGACCUGUUUUUAUUUCCUACCUUG